rnacentral:rRNA from 1 species
UACGUAGGGUGCAAGCGUUAAUCGGAAUUACUGGGCGUAAAGCGUGCGCAGGCGGUUAAGUAAGACAGAUGUGAAAUCCCCGGGCUCAACCUGGGAACUGCACUUGUGACUGCAUAGCUAGAGUACGGUAGAGGGGGAUGGAAUUCCGCGUGUAGCAGUGAAAUGCGUAGAUAUGCGGAGGAACACCGAUGGCGAAGGCAAUCCCCUGGACCUGUACUGACGCUCAUGCACGAAAGCGUGGGGAGCAAACAGG